CAAAACCUGGUUGAUCCUGCCAGUGGUCACACGCUUCGUUCAAGGGCUAAGCCAUGCAUGUCUCAGCGCAAACGGUCUCAACAGUGGGUCUGUGAAUGGCUCAUUACAACAGCAGUCAUCUCUGUGAUACAGUGUGGGUGGCACCAGCUCCAGGUGCCCAACUGGACAUCCACCAAAACCUAGUGGCUAAUACAC
rnacentral:rRNA from 1 species